UGUGGAAAAAAAAAGAAAAAAAAAUGGAAAUUAAGUGUAAAUAUAAAUAUAUAUAUUUAUAUAUUAAAUAGUUUUAUUAAAUUAAUUAAAGAAAAGAAAGAAAAGAAAGGACAAAAAGAAGAAAAGGAGAAGAAAAUUUCAUUUUCUCUUUUCUUCUUCUUCUUCUCUUCCCUUCACCGCCAAGUUUGAAGACAUCCAAGUUUCCUUUAUUUUUUUUUUCUUUUCCUUCUUCAAUUUGCAGAGAACUUCUAAGAGAGAGUUUGGAAGAAGAAGAGAAAUUUUACUAGAAUUUUUAGGUUGAAGAAGAGGAGGAGAACUCAAGCAAAGUGUAUCAAUGGCUGAAUUUUAGUUCAUUCUGCACAUCACUGGUUUUUAAUUCGGUUUGAACUCUUCAAAAGGAAUUAAGAGGUGAGAUUUACAUUUACUGAAAGUUAACUCAUUUUUAAACAAACUUUAUGAAGAACGUUGGAGCAAAUUCGGAUUUUCAUUUGGUGCUUUUUGAUGAAGAAAACAGGGCAGUUGGUUUUCACUCGAAAUCAGGAGGUCUCUGGUUUUUCUUGUAUUUCAGAGUGUAUCGGUGGAGUUAGAAUUUCUAUUUGGAACAAGUUAAAGAGGUCGUGUGCGCGCGAUUCUGGAAGUAGUUCUAUUUUGAGGGUUAUAUGUGUUUAUGCACGGGGAAUCAGAUUUAUAUGUCUUCAGAUAAGUUUUAGAGGAUCUCAAAAUGAAGAGUUUAAUAUAAAGAACACUCAUUUUGGUUAAGUAUUGAGAAAGUUAUAGUUCUUUGAAGUUUAUGUUAGAAAUCUGGAAAUUUUAGAGAAUUGUUGAAAUAGGAUUUUAUUUCUUAAGCUUUGUUUUCGUGAGCGUCAUCUUUGGUGCGACAUGUUAUGUAUAUCUUUAGGAAACCAGAAUGUUUAAGGUUUUAAUACUCGGUUGGGUUGUUGGCAGGCCGAGAAGAAUUAAACCGAGCUUAUAGACCAAGGAUCUAGCCCAAGACUGUGAGUGACAAAACCAACUUUGAAAUAUUUUCCAUAACUGUUAUUAUGAUUGAAUGCGAUAAAUGUUUAUUUACGAAGCCAUGAAAGGUAUUUGAAUUUCAUGACUAUUUUCAAGUAUACAUUUGGAGACUAGAUUUCUUAAAGAAAUUUAUGCUGGCACGUAGAUAUUAAAUGUUUGGAAAGUAUUUAAACCACAAUAUUUUAAGCAAAGCAUGAAUUAGUAUGAAGUUUUGUUUUAAGAACUACAAUUUUCCACGAAAGAGCUGAGUAAAGUUCGAGCUUUGUGUAAAAUUUAUAAGCAGGCAUGUUUUAAUAUUUUAUGAUGAUUUAUGAAAUUUUCAUUAACUACAUGACUGAGAUCUUGAGCCUGAGGCUAGAGAUUACCGUGUGCACACUUGUUAGAUUUCGUUGUUGACGUUGAGUGUACUCCGUAACAACGAUGCUGUCGUGAGUGCUGGGCGGGCCCCACUACGACAAAGACGAUGGGAGUGCUGGGCGGGCCCCACUACAUCGUAGUGCUUGUAAACGUUGUUGUACUAGGUGUACCCUACACAACGUAGAUUCGUCAUGUUAGUUAAAAUGCUUCGAUAUACUUGAUAUGCCUUGCUAGAUUUCAAUGAUGAACAUGCUGAGUAUUUAAGGAAGCUAUUCUUACUAUUACACAUUUACAUUUACGACUUGUAUAAACAGAUUUAUAUGUGUAAAGUUUUCACGUGCUCUUAUCUUUAAAUUCAUAGUUUUAAACUGAGUCACUCACUGAGCUCCAUAGCUCACCCUUUCCAAAAUGUUUUACCCAUUUUCCAGGUAGAGAUCGACUUCCCGGUGCCUGAUAGACUGCCUUAGUCUGCGGAAGCUUCAUUAUCGAUUGCCAGUACGUGUUUUGAGUUGGGCAUAAAGUCUGUUGUGUUGUGAUGUAUUCACACCCUUGUAUGUUAUAGAUACUCCACAGUUUGUAUAAGCUUUAGGAGCUGUAGUUGUGUAAAUUUUGUUGGUUAUAUUUUGAUUAAGGUGUCUUUAGGUUUACUCGUGAAAUCGGUAAAUUUUGAGGUACACUUCAUGUAUGUGUUUGACUAGCUGUGUUUGACUAGCCUAGGAUCCGCUGUGUUUUGUGGCAUGUACAAUAGUUUAUAUACUAGAUUGGCAAGUUCA